AGUGAACGCUGGCGGCGUGCCUAAUACAUGCAAGUCGAACGGAGUGGCGCACGGGUGAGUAAUGUAUAGCUAAUAUGCCCCAUACUAGAGGAGAAUAGAUGGAAACGACGGCUAAUAAUCCAUAUUGUAGGUUGAGGUUAUACUGUAUCAGCUAGUUGGUGAGGUAAUGGCUCACCAACGCGAUGACGAAUAACUAGUCUGAUUGGAUGAUCUGUCGCACUAGAACGUAGGCACGAGUGAGACUCCUUAGGGAGUCAGCGGAAGGGAAUCGUGCUCAGUCGGGGAGACCCAGGAGGAUCAUCGGCGCGUAGAGGAAUUCACGUUUCGGGGCGUAAACUCCUUUUAUUAGGUAAGCGGUACCUAACGAAUAAGCACCGGCUAACUCCGUGCCAGCAGCCGCGGUAAUAC
rnacentral:rRNA from 1 species